rnacentral:lncRNA from 1 species
GGCUGGUCUUUGCUGAGGAAAUGUAGGCUAGCUAACAGCUGUUUGUGCUGAAACCAGCUAGCCAGUUUGACUGUAGACAGCCGGGUUUAACCCUGUUCAGAAAAAAUUGAUUGCUCCUACAGACAGCGAGUCACGUGGCCUUGGCUUGAAAUAUAAAGCAGGCUGACCGGCAUUGAGGCAUUCAGUUACAGUUCAAUUGAACAUUAGAAUAAGCAAAACAAGUGACCUUUGAGCGUGGUAUGAUCGUCGGUGCAAAGUUCGCCGGAUCCAGUAUCUCAGAAAUGGCUGCCCUCCUGGGCUUUUCACACACGACAGUGUCUAGGGUUUACCGAGAAUGGUGUUACAAUCAAAAACAUCCAGUCAGCAGCAGUCCUGUGGGCGAAAACAGCUCGUUAGUGAAAGAGGUCGAUGGAGAAUGGCAAGAAUCAUGCAAGCUAACAGGCUGGCCACAAACAGACAAAUAACAGCACAGUACAACAGUGGUGUGCAAAACGACAUCACGGAACUCACAAGUUGUCAAUCCUUGUCAUGGAUGGGCUAUUGCAGCAGAUGACAACACUGGCAUGCAAUCACCAUCACUGGAUAAUUGAGAUGACUUCAGCCAUGUGAAAACUCUUCAAUAGCCCAAUAUAUCAAGGAUAGUUAACUCUGGGUCUUCCUUUCCUGUGGUGGUCCUC